GACGAACGCUGGCGGCGUGCUUAACACAUGCAAGUGGAGCGACGAACCAAGGCUUGCCUUGGGGCAGAGCCGCGAACGGGUGAGUAACACGUGGGUAACCCACCUCGAUGACCGGGACAACCCGAGGAAACUCGGGCUAAUACCGGAUGAGAUCCUCUUUCGUAAGGAAGAUGAUGAAAGAUAGCUUCGGCCUUCGCAUCGAGACGGGCCCGCGGCCCACUUAGCUUGUUGGUGGGGUAAGNGGCCGUACCAAGGCUUCGAUGGGUAGCUGGUCUGAGAGGACGAUCAGCCACACUGGGACUGAGACACGGCCCAGACUCCUACGGGAGGCAGCAGUGGGGAAUCUUGCGCAAGUGCGCGAAAGCGUGACGCAGCAACGCCGCGUGGGGAAGACGG
rnacentral:rRNA from 1 species